rnacentral:rRNA from 1 species
GCACAAGCAGUGGAGUAUGUGGUUUAAUUCGAAGCAACGCGAAGAACCUUACCAGGUCUUGACAUCGGAUGCAUAGCCUAGAGAUAGGUGAAGCCCUUCGGGGCAUCCAGACAGGUGGUGCAUGGUUGUCGUCAGCUCGUGUCGUGAGAUGUUGGGUUAAGUCCCGCAACGAGCGCAACCCUUAUUAUUAGUUGCUACGCAAGAGCACUCUAAUGAGACUGCCGUUGACAAAA